ACAACGAAGAGUUUGAUCCUGGCUCAGGAUGAACGCUAGCGACAGGCUUAACACAUGCAAGUCGAGGGGCAGCAUGUUUUGUAGCAAUACAGAUUGAUGGCGACCGGCGCACGGGUGAGUAACGCGUAUGCAACUUACCUAUCAGAGGGGGAUAGCCCGGCGAAAGUCGGAUUAAUACUCCAUAAAACAGGGGUUCCGCAUGGGACUAUUUGU
rnacentral:rRNA from 1 species